GUGCGUAAGGAAAGGAAGGGAGGGGUGUGCGCGAAAUCGGACUUGGGAUCCCGGAGAAGACGGUGGGCGUGGCUUGAGGAAGGGCGUUUGUGAUUGGUGGGUUCUGCCGCGGCCGGGAAGUUCGAACAGAAGUCUGGGGACGAGUCGGCGAAGAGCAGAGUUGAACUGAGUACUCCCGGCUAGAGCAAGCGGCAGUUGCAGCGCAUGCGCAGCAGCAAGGGCGGCCGCAGGUCGCCCUUCAAUAAUACGAAACGUAUAGACUUUUGAGUAUACCAAGCUCCCUGUUUCUGUGGGUUCACCUGAGAUUUAUCUGGUCUUUCGGGCCUUAAAAGGGAGACAGUCCCAAAGAUUCAAGGGAUUUGUACAGCCCUAUAGGAGACACCUCCAGAGAAAGUAACAGCUCUCAAUUGAUUCACUGAGGCCAGAUUGGAGAGAGUGGUGGAGCAUAUAAUUAACUCUAAUAAUUUGCUAAGAGAUGAGCUGCAAGCUGGUGGGAAGUACAGACUCCUAUUUUGCCAAAUCAGUAGCUUCAGGGGCCGGAUCCUGACAUGAAUCAGACACCUCCAGAAUUCUAUCCCAAGCAAAAGAUUACUUCAAGGCCAGAACUCACUCCCUGUUGAAGACUGAGUGCAAGAUCCACUGAGAUUAAUUUGUAACCUGAUUGGGCCCACAGUGAUGCUAGCCCCUUCACCAGAUGGAACAAUAAUUCCAGACAAGCCAUCAGAGCAGGUCACACCACUUGACACCUCCUAUCCUGCAUUCCAAACCCCUCUCUUUAAAAUCCCCGUGUUCCCUCCAUAAACUGGACAGUGCCAGUUGUUAGAAAGAAUUCUGGCACUCUUUUCCUUGUUAGCAUGGAUAAAAAAAUUCACCCUCUUUUUAUCACGCCUCACUCUUGUUAUUUUGGCUUCUUUCUACAAGCAGUGAGCAACCAGACCCCCUUUGCUGGUUACAGUAUGAACUAUUUUAUUUUUUUUUAAUCCACAAUAAAAUAAAAUAAAAUAAAAUCAUUAGAUUUCAAAGUAGUGUUUAAUGGUUUAAGAAAAACUAGUUUUACAUUUGCAACUUGAAUAUAUUGGAUAUUAUUAAAAGCACCACAAUUGUUAAGUACUGUAGUACCUUUUCAUCUUUGAAAGCCCUUUAGAACAUUUUAAAACUCCACUGGCAUAGCUGAUACCUUUCUUUCUGGCUGUCUUUUCCCCCUCCCCAUUGGAGGCACCUACCAUAAUAUUGAUAGGGACAGGAGGCAGGGAAAUUCUUAGCAGAAGAGGGUGGGUACCUGGUGAGGGCCCCACUCUCAAGCCUAGAACCUGGCCCAAAGUGUGAACAUGCAUUCCUGUUUUCCUGCUCAAAUGUUGCCUUUUCCAAAACCACCCAUGGCCUGCCCCACCCCAAUCCUGUGCCCAUAAAAACCCCAGUCUCCACCAGCAGAGAGCAGAGAAGAGGAGAAGCAGCUGGAAAUCAGAGACUGCAGUUUGACAUUGGAGAAAAGCAGCUUGACUUCAGAGGGACAACUUGACAGCAUGGCUUCAGAGAAGAGAAGAUCACCUUCCUGCUCCUUCCCCUUUCCAGGUCCCCUUCCCACUGAGAGCCACUUACACAGGCAAUAAAAUCCUCUGCAUUCACCACCCUUCAAUUCAUUCAUGCAACCUGAUUUUUUCCAGAUGGC